rnacentral:rRNA from 1 species
CCAGCAGCCGCGGUAAUACGAAGGGGGCUAGCGUUGCUCGGAAUGACUGGGCGUAAAGGGCGCGUAGGCGGUUUGGUUAGUUAGACGUGAAAUUCCAGGGCUCAACCUUGGGACUGCGUUUAAGACAGCCAGACUUGAGUGAGGAAGAGGGUUGUGGAAUUCCCAGUGUAGAGGUGAAAUUCGUAGAUAUUGGGAAGAACACCGGUGGCGAAGGCGGCAACCUGGUCCUUUACUGACGCUGAGGCGCGAAAGCGUGGGGAGCAAACAGGAUUAGAUACCCUGGUAGUCCACGCUGUAAACGAUGUGUGCUGGAUGUUGGGUAACCUAGUUACUCAGUGUCGUAGCUAACGCGAUAAGCACACCGCCUGGGGAGUACGGCC